rnacentral:rRNA from 1 species
CAGCAGCCGCGGUAAUACGUAGGGUGCAAGCGUUAAUCGGAAUUACUGGGCGUAAAGCGUGCGCAGGCGGUUAUAUAAGUCAGAUGUGAAAUCCCCGGGCUCAACCUGGGAACUGCAUUUGAGACUGUAUGGCUAGAGUGUGUCAGAGGGGGGUAGAAUUCCACGUGUAGCAGUGAAAUGCGUAGAUAUGUGGAGGAAUACCGAUGGCGAAGGCAGCCCCCUGGGCCAAUACUGACGCUCAUGCGCGAAAGCGUGGGGAGCAAACAGGAUUAGAUACCCGGGUAGUCCCUGUCUCUUAUAC